GACGAACGCUGGCGGCGCGCCUAACACAUGCAAGUCGAACGGGUUCUUUUGGGAGCUUGCUCCUGGCAGAACUAGUGGCGGACGGGUGAGUAACACGUGAGCAACCUGCCUUUCAGAGGGGGAUAACGUCUGGAAACGGACGCUAAUACCGCAUAACAUCGCGGGGCCGCAUGGUCCUGCGAUCAAAGGAGCAAUCCGCUGGAAGAUGGGCUCGCGCCCGAUUAGAUAGUUGGUGAGGUAACGGCUCACCAAGUCUGCGAUCGGUAGCCGGACUGAGAGGUUGAUCGGCCACAUUGGGACUGAGACACGGCCCAGACUCCUACGGGAGGCAGCAGUGGGGAAUAUUGCACAAUGGGGGAAACCCUGAUGCAGCGACGCCGCGUGAGUGAAGACGGCCUUCGGGUUGUAAAGCUCUGUUGUGGGGGACGAUAAUGACGGUACCCCACUAGAAAGCCACGGCUAACUACGUGCCAGCCGCCGCAGUAACAC
rnacentral:rRNA from 1 species